AAGAUAUUUAUUAUAAGUCUGUCUCCCUCCCUUCCUCGUGCCUGUCGUCCCCCCUCCCCUUAACCCCAUCCGCAAACCUUCCUCCUUCGUCUUCCCUAUGUCUCUCUCUCUCUCCAAGAAAAAUAACGCAUAGCCUACUACCGUUGCCGUGCAGCCACUUAUCCGAAGACGCAAUCCAGUAGCUCUUUCGUUUCACUAGCCCGAAUUUUCCUUCAUUUCACUCUCUCUUUAAUUCCGAAAACCGAACUCUUCUUCUGACAGAAAAAAAAAAAAACGGACGAAACAGUCGCUGAACUCGGCUCCACGAAGACAAGACCUGCUGCAUCUAUUUUGCAUAUCUUGUCAAAGAACUAAUUUACCUACAGCAGACCAUUCCGGGAUAUGGUUCAACAGAAAAUGUUGUUUUUUUUUGGAUCGACAGAAGCAGAAGGUCUGAUAACCGUCCUGUCAGAAUUGUAUUGGAAGCCUUUUCCGCUGUCUCGUCCUUUAAAACAGUGGCUUGAGUGGUAACAAUUAUUUUUUUAAAAAGGCACAGAAAGCUAUUAUUGUCUUGGAGUUACUGCCUUAUAUUUAACUUUACAUCACAAUGUCCUUAAAUAAGAAGGCAAGGAAGAGAGAACAAAGAGACUGAAUUGCACUCAUUCUCCCCCCCUACCAUUAGCCAUUCCCCCUAUGCAAACAUAAAUGGUUAACAAGAUUCAUGCUGUCUGCAUCAAUUUGGAAGAGCAAGAAAUACAACAUAUAUCCUCUGAUCCAACAUUUCCACCCCACCAAUACGACUGGAAGUCUGGCUCUGAUUGGAUCCUGAAUUAGCCCCUAUCAGGGGAACAAUUAGCAACCAGCAGCAAUGGCAGCUGCCCUUAACACAUCCCAGACCACAGCAAUUCAGACUUAAUUGAGACCUUUCAAUCAGCCUCCAAGGCUUUUUUUCUCAGACAGCCCUAAUGCAGUGGUGUGGAGGUUAACCGA